rnacentral:tRNA from 2 species
GGCUGGAUGGCCGAGCGGUCUAAGGCGCUAGACUCAAGAACUACAAAUUCUUCUUCACCACAAGGUGAGGUGUAUUCUAGUAUCGAAAGAUGCGUGGGUUCGAAUCCCACUCCAGUCA